AUUGAACGCUGGCGGCAGGCCUAACACAUGCAAGUCGUGCGCGCGUCGGACGGGUGAGUGAUGUCUGUGAGACUCCCUGUUGUGGGGGGGUAAAUACACUAAACGGUAUCUAUUACCCCAUAUCAUACGAUGUGUCCAGAUGGGAUUAUCUAGUAGGUGGGGUAACGGCUCACCAAGGCGACGAUCCCUAGCUGGUCUGAGAGGAUGACCAGACAAACUGGAACUGAGACACGGUCCAGACUCCUACGGGAGGCAGCAGUGGGGAAUAUUGCACAAUGGGCGCAAGCCUGAGGCAGCCAUGCCGCGUGUGUGAAGAAGGCCGUCGGGUUGUAAAGCACUUUCAGCGGGGAGGCGUUACCCGAAGAAGAAGCACCGGCUAACUCCGUGCCAGCCGCCGCGGUAAUAC
rnacentral:rRNA from 1 species